GCUUCUUCUUUAAAUGUUUUGUGGAAUUCAGCAGUGAAUCUAUCAGGUCUUGGGCUUUUCUUUGAUGUGAGACUUUUAAUUGUAGCUUCACUCUCAUUACUUAUUAUUGGCUUGUUGAGGUUUUCUAUUUCUUCAUUGUUCAAUCUUGGUAGGUUGUAUGUGUGCAGGAAUUUAUCCACAUUUUUUUAGGUUUUUCAAUUUGUUGGCUUAUGGUUGUUCAGAAUAUCCUCUAGUGAGUCUCUGAAUUUCUGUGGUAUCAGUUUUAGUAUCUCCCCUUUUCCUCUGGUUUCAUUGAAUUGAGUCUUGUUUUCUUAAUUCGUGUAGCUAAGGGUUUGUUGAUUUUGUUCAUCUUUGCAAAAUAACAAGUUGUAUUUGUUGAUCUUUUGUUAUUUUUGUAUCCUUAAUUUCAUUUUUUCUGCUCUGAUCUUUAUUAUUUCUUUUCUUCUACUAAUUUUGGAAAACCUUUAUACAGUGGGUUAAAGAAAAUAUCUUAUUAAUAAUUAAUAUUAAUUUCACCUGUUUCUUUUUCCUUUAUUUCACAUGGCUACCAGAAAAUUUAAAAGUUUACAUGUGGUUUUCAUUAUAUUUCUGUUAAACAGUGCUGCCUAAGAUAGUGCUUAUGGAACUGUUGUCACAAAACUUAUGUAUAAGUGGGUUAACCGAGAUAAUAAAGCUGAAUUCAAGGUGUGUAGAAUGAGCACUAGACUGAGAUCCAGGGACUGAUUCAGUCCCAGCUAGGACUUGGUCUCCUCAGGUAGCCAUUCACUCUACGUGUCUGGAAUGGAGUGCACUCACUGAAAAAAUGCGGAAAAGAUUGAGAAGUAGAUCAUUUCUAACCCCCUUCCUACAUUAAAUUCAGUGAUUCAACUGUGUUCAGGAGUAUACGAUUGAAUCAUACUUGUAGCCCUCCCAGUAUCUUCUCAAAGCCUUUUAGACAAAACCGUCUUCCUCAUUCCACAUCAUAAUUUAUUUGAGAGGUUAAAUUUGUAAUUACUGUAAUUUGGAGCUUCCUUGAUCAGCCUGAGGCUGGAGCACAGCAUCCUUCAAUCUGUUCAGUGCUAAGUGAAUCAGUUGAACAUGUUGUGAUUUAUAAGGAUCUGAUAAAUAUGUUUUGCAAGAAAGUUUCCAGCACUCUUUGAAAAAAUUUAGAGUGUUCUGAAAGUAAACUGUAGUUUUUAUGUCAUUUCAAAUAAUUAAGAAGAAAUUGUUUCUUAUUUUUUAAAUUAAUAUUGAAAAAUCUAUUUCUAACUUAAAUUCACAGGUAAAAAAUGUGGAAUACUUCAUAUAUUUCUUAUAAUAUUAAAUAUCUUAUUAAUAUUUUAUAUCUUACACUUUGAUAUAAAGAAAUAUAAGAAAUAUAUAUAAGAAAUACUCUAGCCAUAUCUGACUUUUUUCCAUGUACGUAUAUUUGAAUAUAAUAUAGAUUGUAGUGUAUAUGUUUUAGUUUUUUAAAAAAGUUUUAACAUGUGUUCUACUUUGGAACAUGAGUAAUUUAUAAUAUUUUUUCUUAUAAAUAAUAGUAUGUUUACAUGUGCAUAUGCCUGAGAUAAUUAGUUUAGGAUCAUUUCUUAAUAGAGAAAUGCUGGUCAAAGGACAUAAAUAUUUUAAGAUUUUUUCAUAUUUAUAAUAAACUUUCCUUCCAGGAAGUUUGUAUUUUCCAUUUGUGUUUCCCUUAGCAGGGACUGCCUGUUCCCUGCAACCUUACCAAUACUAAAAUUAAGAUUUUAAGUUUUGUUUUGGUUGACGAGUGAGAAAACAUACUUUAUUUUUGUUGGAAUUUAUAUUUCUUAGGUUACUAAGAGAAUCCAAAAUUAUUUAAUGAGCAUAUUGGCAACUUCUAAUUCUUCUUUGUAAAUAGCUUGUUUUGGGUUUAUAUCGUCUAUUUACUUACUUAUUUUGGAUAGUUUUUUGUUUUGUUUUGUUUUGAUAGCUGAGCUGGUGAGAUUAUAUAGCACCCUUGAAAACUUUCCUCUUUGCUCUGACUUCCAAUCCUGUUCAGUCAUAGACAGCCCUGCCCCUGCUCCAUCCACAUGUCACCUGAGCAAACAAGCAUAUACAACAGGGGGAAAUCACUGUAGUCCUCAUCUUGGCAUGUGGGUUCCAGAAAAUAAUCAAGCCCUUAUAAGAGGAAGAAGAUAAUUUAACUCCCAUUUGGUCCUUAUAUUGGAGUCUUUUAGAGCAAUUUUUUCUAGUUUUUCCUUUCCAAAGCAAAUGAAAAGACCCCAUAACAAUACUAGCUUUAAGAUCUCUGCUGUAAACAAGGAUUCUGAGUCAAUUGGGAUACCACAGGUUAGUUACGUGUACACUGGUGUAUCCCCUUGCAAAAUCACCUGCCUUGAGCUGUCAUUACAGAACCAUUAUAAGAAAGGGCCAUAUAAAAUAUAAAAUAUUUUAAUAAAUUGGUUGUGAAAAUAUUGUUAUGGACACUGUUUUGUAUAACACUGACAUUCCAAUACACAAAGGAUGCAUUAUAAAAGAUGGAGUGCUAGAAAAAGCUAAAGUGCUCUUCAGGUUUAUCUUGCUUCUGAUACGUGUUACUGAUGAUGUUUCGGGAAUUGCUUGUCUGCUUGGAAACUCAGAGCCAAAUUUGAUUCUUAAUCACAGCAAUAAUAUUGGCUGUUAGUAUUGACUAUUUUGGUAAUGUAUUUUUAUGCUCCAAUUUAUAUAUUACCUAUAAUUUCUGAUUUCAUUAUUUGGUAAAUUUUUUUGUGUGGAUUUUUGUGUGGGUGUGUUUGAAUUUUGUCUGUCUGUUUGUCUGUUUGUUUGUUUGUUUGUCUGAAGGUUUUUGGAAACCUUCUUAUUUCUGAAAAAGAGCAAGGCCUGUGAUUAAGAAGAGUUUUUGCAAGUUCAGUGAAUACUGUCAUCAUUUUCAUAAUAACUUUAAGGUUUAUUACAGAAAACUAGAAUAGAUUUUUGCCUCUUCCUAGGCAAAAAAAGCUGUUGUUCCCAAGCAGAAAGGUGAAAGUCAUCUUGUAUUAUUUCUUGGCUUUUCAUUUUUAUAUAUGUUUGCUUGCCUUAAUGAUAAUAAUGCUCUAAUCUAAUUAUCAAUCACCUGUUUAAUGCUAUUAUUUCUGUUAAUUCAUGGGGGCAGCUAAUGAUUUUAAAUAAGGUAGUUUUCACAAGAAUAAGUGAACAACAUGAAACUUUUUGUCAAAUCAAUUUUCUAGGCAUCCUUUAUUUUCUGGGCAUCCUUUGGGUUUAUUCAGUAGAAUAGUCUUUGGAAAAUUUGUAAAUCAUGCAAUAAUUGAAAUAACCAAAAUACUGUCUCCUUAUACACAUUUUACAUAGGAAUAUGCUUUAGAAAACUAAGCAAAGUAUAAGUAAAGGGAAUAUUACAGAAAGGUAAAUGUCAGUGUUCUUCUAUUCAAAUUAUGGGCUUUAAUUUCCCCAGCCUUUUGGUGGUAAGUGAAGCCAUCCUUGUCUUGAAAACUGUAGGGGGAACUGUUUACAUGGCCUACUUUAGACCCUUAUGUUAUUCUGAGUUUUUUUCUUCUCCAGGGAAAUAAUUUUUAACUAUGUUUGAAAGAAUGAAUUUAAGGCUUAUUAACUGAACUCGUCUUCAAAAAUUUAGAAACGAUGGUUCUGUCAAAUCAGAUAAUUUUCUUCCUGUGCAUUAAAGCAUAAUAUGAGGAAACUAUUAGCUACAAAGCACAUUUAAAUGCUGCUUGGAUAUUGGUGUGCCCUUGCUCAUUUUCUUGAGUGUUUCUCAAUUCAAAACUCAAAAUUAACUGCAUACUUGGCAUCAGGUCUUGCCAUCAGGUUGAACCUGAGCUGAUGUCAAUGACACACUGCUUUGGAGCCCAUGGGUAGGUGAGGGGAUUGCAGUCUCUCUUCAGUGUGGGAUUCUGAAAAGAGGCAAACUGAUAGAGGCUCCAACCAAAUAACUGUACCCACACAUUGAGGGACUGAAGGUAAACUCCCAGAGAAGAGACAAAGACAGGAGGUGGAGAGCAGAAUAGUCAGGAAACAAGUUAGUCACAGACUUUACUCAGAUCCGGGUUGUGCAAGCAAUGCAGACUUGACUCUUUUGUCCCAUCCACUACUCACUGCCCACUGCACUCUUUUUGGCUGGGUUGUAUUAUUAACUGCUGGGAAUAUUUUUCUCAACUUCCAUUAGAGUGGGGAUUCUCAUAUGAGUAGUAGUAAGUAGAAUAGUAGGAAGUAAGUAAGAAGAGUAGUAAGUGAAAUUCUGAAGUACUACCUCUUCCUGCUUUUUUCUACUGGCCUUAAACAUGGAUGCAAUGUCUGGAACUGCAAUGAUUAUCUUGUAAACAUGAACAAGAGAUGACACCAUGCCUAGGAAACACUGAAUUUCUGCCUGCUUCCAGACUUCUGGUCAUAGGAGGAAAAAACAAAACAAAACAAAACAAAAACCCCCAUUAGAAGUCAAAAUUUCUGCUACUUGAGUUCAAAUGCAUUCCUAACUUAUAUACUUUGUUGCCUCGUUUGUUGCCUUCUGCUCUUCAAUAGUCUCACUCUCAUUGGGGAAGAAAAAUAUAUAAACUUAAAGUUCUUAUUGCGACACUUCUUAAUACCUAAAAUUGCCAUCCUGUUGAGCCAGGAUGAUCCUCACAUAUGAGGUACUUAGUAGUUGCUUGUUGAAUGGAUGUGAAAAAUAUUCCUGUUUUUCACUUUGGCCAAAUUGAAUGAUAGAAACGCUUUGGGCUUCUCUGACCUGGCAGUUCCACAGUGCAAAGCAACAUUCUGCCCUCAGAUCAGCACACAUCUUUACUUAUACAAACCCUCACUCUGGGGUGCUUAUUGUUAUAGAAAUCUGCUUCUGUUUUUGGCUUCCCUGAUGGAAGGAAAAGGAUGCCUCAGUUCCUGGAUGUAUUGUAUGAACCUUGGCUAUACUUACAUAAAGCACAAAAUAACUAAGAAAUAUGCUCACCCCGUAAGGAUUUAUGUGGAGCUCACUCACAAAUACUUUCAUAACUGCUGAGAAUCAGCACGGUUUGGUGCGAUGUUGAAAAGUCAUCAGAAUCAAAAAACUAUGUGUCCAGGUGCGGUGGCUCACACCUGUAAUCCUAGCACUUUGGGAGGCUGAGGCAGAUGGAUCACCUGAGGUCAGGAGUUUGAGACCAGACUGGCCAACAUGGUAAAACCCCGUUUUUACUAAAAAUAGAAAAAUUAGCCAGGCAUGGUCGUGGGCGCUUGUAAUCCCAGCUGCUCGGGAGGCUGAGGCAGGAGAAUUGCUUUAACCUGGGAGGUGGAGGUUGCAGUGAUCAGAGAUCGCAUCACUGCAUUCCAGCCUGGGCAACAGAGAGAGACUGCAUCUCAAAAUAAAAAAAAGAAUCAAAUAAACUCUGAUACCCAUCGUUACCACCAUUGGCUGUGUGCUGUGGAGAAAUUUAGUUAACUUUUCUCUGAAGAAGUAUUCCUUCCUUUGUAAAAAUAGACAUAAAUAUGCCAGUUUCCCAAAGUGAAUGGGAUUAAAUUAAAUCAUGUAUACAUAUAUAAAGUGUUUGGCAUGUAGUAAGGGAUUAAUAAGUGAUACCUGUUAUAUUAAUGGUUGUGGUUAUCUUGCAAUAUGAUAGUUGAAAGAUGUGCUGAUUCAAAGCUGUCAACCCAACAUCUUCCUGGGAUCUCACCUGCCUUGCUGUAUUAUCUGCUGGCGUCUCCAAGGGUGACCAGCUUGAACGAUUUCAUUAUGUGUCACUACUACAACAUUUUACACAAAUACAAUUAAACAAGUUCGUCUUCCAGCACACUAGUUGGGAGUUAAAAACAGUUUCUAUUGAUUUAUAUUUUUGAUGGACUUCAUUGAGAAUGUUCUGAUUUGUGGGUUAAUGCUUUCUUACAUUGAGGGUUCCCAGGAGCCCUGCAGUGAAGAUGGUAACCUUUACCUAAACUCACCAGAAUGAUUAAUUAAUGUUUACCUCUAAUGAGCUAAUUAGGAGUUUGGGACAUUUUGGCAUUUUGAAUGGCUUACUUGAUUAUCUAAAGGGAACUUUUACCAUCUCAAGAGGAAUUAUAAUUGGCCUUAGGGAAUAAUAGAAUCACCUAAAGUAUAAGAAAGCCUCCCUCAUGUUGGCAAACAACCUGUCUAACAAAUGUCCCCUUUGACAAAACAGCCCGCAGUCACAAAUACGAGUUGAAAUCGUAAGGGGAACUCUGACAGGAUUUACAGUUACAUUAAUUGCUCGCUCUUGGCAUGGGUGAUUUUUGUGAUUAGAAGAGGAUCAGAGCAGCUUUCUACUCAAGUCUUUGGCUUGAGGCUGAUCAUUCUCCAUAAACAAUGACACCUUUGGGAGGGCAGCCAAAAAUGUCCCAUAGAGAAAUAUCAGGAGAGAUUCUUACUUAAUGAGAUAUGAAUAAGGCUGUUGAGCUCCACCAGAUCUUUGCUUGUCUCCUUAAUGAGGAAACAUCACAGUGGGUGAAGUGGUGAUAAUGUUAAUAACCAUGAUCCAAUUCAAUGAAUGGUGGAAGUAAGGAGAGAAUUCAGGAAACAGACGUAACACAACUCUCUAUACAAACCUCUGGGUCAGUUAUGUAACUUGAUUUUAUGUUUAUCUUCAAGUGAGGGAGUUAGUGCGCCUGGCUUAUGCAGUAGUUACACAUAAGACAUGUAGAUGGAAGUCUAAUAAGUGAAGGAGACUAAAUAGAAAGUCAGAUGUACCUCAGGGAGAAAACGUGAUUCAUACCAAAACUCACUCUACGGAGUGAGAGAGCUACUCAGCACUUUAAUGGAGGAUAUGAUCAAGACUUGAUUUUCCAUUUCGUUUUCCUUUUUGGAAUUAUGCACUUCCCAACAGAAAUGUCUAAUUUGGAAAAAAAAAAAAGGGACCUCCACUGUCAAGUUGGGGGAAUGAGGGCAGGAAGGAGAAAAUGAAUAUAAAAGAAAUAAAUGAAGGACAAGUUUGCAAAAAAUAGGUUGUGCAAGAACCAAGAAGGUUUAAAACAACGUUCAGAGUAAUGAGCUCAAUUCACUAGGAAUGGGGAGUUCUUGAAGGAAUUGAAGCAAGGAGAUUACCUGAUUAGAGAUAGGUUGCAUUUUAGGUAAAGGUAGAAAUAAUUAUUGGAAUUUAGAAAACCUCCCAAAAUACCUGAUUAUAAAAUCAAAGUUAUUAUCUAGAUAUUCAAGUAUUAAAUAACUUUUAAAUAACCUGAAACACAUGGAUCUUCACAUAUGUGAAGAAAGCAUUUUCCCAGCCACAUUCAUUAUCCGUAAAACAUUUUACAGUACCUGUCAUAGAAGACCCGUCCCAUUUAUAUAUAAAGUUUCAUCGGUGCUCUUUAAUGUCACAUUAUUUUAGGUAUGGUUGUUUCAACUGAGUGCACACAUCUAUUAGUGCUAAGUCACAUUGGAUAAUGAAGCACUGUUAUUCCCACGAACCUGUGUUAGGUGGACCAGGGAUUUUAAUUAAAUAUCUGAAUGAGUGUUGUAAAGUGGAUACUCUCUAGAAAGCAUCUGUCAGGGUUAAUACUUUACAAGUUAGCUAUGCCUCUUUCAACCUUUAAUUAUAAUAUUCUAACUCUUUAUCCUUAGUUACUGCUAAUAAUUUCAAGGUUAUACAGAUAGAAAUUACUUGAUUAUCCAAGUGCCUGCACUUAUCGAAUGAAAUAGAAAUCAAUUUCACUGUACAUGGUUUAUAAGUAAGCAAUGCUAACAUAUUAUUGUAUUUUUCUAAAAAAAUUCUUUUUUUAACAAAAGGAAUUGAAAACCACAUGAUAUCCUGUGGUUGAAAGUGCCUAAUGCCUGCCACAUAUGUAACAAAAGUAAAUUCUUAAUAAUAACAGUGAUAGUCCUCCUGCAUCCAAUAAACAAACGCACUUCUUGAUCAUUGACAAUUCUUCAGCUCUCUUUAAGCAUUGAUCUUUAGUCCUUAUUAAUUUCUCAUAGUGUCCUGCUUGGCCCCCAUAAGUCCAUUUCAUCAUUUAAGUAUAUGGCCUUGCCACUUCCUUCCCCACAAGUAGACUUUGGCCAUUUCUAUGGAUGCAGCAUUUAGAAAAGAUUUGCUUUAGCCCUUAAUUUUCAGAAUCAUAAAGCACAUCAAUAAUUUUUUCACCUCCAAGCCACCCCUUCACACCACCUUCAUGUGGGCUGACCAAGCAGUGGGCCAUUCAGGAGUCAGGCAGUUGCUGUUCCUUGUUAGGAGAAGUAGAAAGCCAUGACCCCAGCAUUGAUAUCAAAUCUUUUAAAUAUUGGUUAUGGGGUAUUUUGACUUUUAUCUUGUUUGAUUCUUUUUUUUUUUUUUAUUUCCAAUCACUGUUUUGAUAAAAAUGUGUUAAUUAUAUGCUUCUGUUUAAGAGUCAUGAUGUUACUCUUCUGUUGAUGGACCUGCAAACUUCAUUUAUUAUAAGACAAUGAGAAGUUAUUAUUCUCCCUAAGAAAGCUAGCUUAGCAUUCAUUUUAAGAAUACUGAAGAAAACUUUGAUUCUCUAACUAGAAAAGAGAGAUUAAAAGUAUUUAAAAGUACAAAGGAAGUUUUUUCCCUCUCAGGCCUCUCUUGGUUCCUGGUUUGUUGUUGUUGUUGUUGUUUUUUCUAAUGCUGCUUCAGUUAACAAUGCCUUGUGCUGGUAUGCUAUUUUUUAAAUGCAAUGGAGGGAACAGAUAGAUCUUCAUUCUUCCUAAGAGUAGAAAAUUCUCAUUAUGGAGACUCAUAAUCUUCAAUAUUUGAAGACUAUAUUCACACCAGAUCAGAAUAAUGAUAAGUUAAGCAGAAUUGAAACAUAUUGAAAUCAUAUUUGACACUGGAAAUUCUUUAAUUCUAUGAGAACUAUAUCAUUAUAGUUCUCAUUUUAUAAGAAAGUUAUUUAAUAUAUUUUAAGGAUGAUAAUAGCACAUUGUGCGUUAACUUUGAUGUCUCUUUCUUUGACAGUUUGGAGACUACAUUGGCUUGCAAUGGAGAAUAAAAUCUCAACCAUAUUAAUGGGAUCAUCUUUUAUUCUCCAAGGCCUAAGUAGUUUCCAGGGCACAUGAUGCCCCUUAUAGAUCCUCAUUUGUCCUUACAGUGUCUUCAUUCUGGAAUGUGUAACUAAAGUAAAUUCCAAAAGUAAAUGUUAAAGAAUCAUUUUUAAAACCAAGUAAAAUAAUGACCCUCAUGCUGAUAUAAAAUGAACACAUAUUAAAUAUUUAACUCAUUAAUGUAGGAACCAAUAAGAUGUUGUAAGUUCAAAGGAGAAUUCAAAGAACAGACUUAAUUAUAGAUUAGGAAUAUUGAAAAAAAUGUGAAAAUUGAAGGAAAACUGGCCUGGGCCAUGGUGGAAAAAGGAAGCCAAUUGAAAUCCUGUCAGACAGAAUGUUGCAUUUCUAUAGGAAUAUUAUUUUUUGCAUUGCUAAUGGCUAUUGACAACUUACAGAUUUGUAAAAUGGCUCAAUGCAAGGUUGGAAUGAGAUUUCCUGGAAUAAUGUACCGUAGACAAUGCAGUUUUCCCUGAAUAACACAUUUUUCCCCUACAGUACAUUGUUCCCUCUUUAUUGGAUAACUAGUAUUUACCAUUAAGAUUUUGCUCAAGCAUGUACCAUAAGAAGCCUUCCCUGGUACCUUCUGUCUGUUUUUAGGUUUCCCUCUACCUCUCAAAAUAGCUUAUAAAUAACAAUCACUGGUCUCUAUACAUGGCAUUAUAAUUCCAUAUUUAUGAUUUCCCUCAGUCCUUCUUCUUUAAGACCAGAACUAUACCUUUUUAUUUUAUUUUUGCAUAGUAUUUGUAUAGUGUUAGACACCUAGACAAAAUUGACAAGUUGCCUACAGAAUGAAUGAGUGAAUGAAUCAAGUAGUGAUGGAUGUAUGCUUGUGUCAAAUUUACAUGAGCAUGUGUGAUAGGAAAACAUUUGUCAUGCAGGAUGCAUCAGGGAUUUGAGCAUGGUCCCUUUAACUCUGAGCAUUGCACAGCUCAUAUCAUUACUAAAUUAAACUCUAUGCUUACCUGACUUUGCUACAACCUUACUCUCUGAUCCCAGAAAAAUUCUGUAUACCUUGAAACUAAUUUAUAUUAGUGAAAUACAUAUUCUUUAUUCUUGCAAAACUGCCUGUGAAAAUGUUUUUUAAUCAUAGGUCAUUUGACAUUAUAGUAAUAUAUUUGCAAAAGUGGAAAGUUUUGCAUAAGCACAAGUAAUGAUCUUUAACUACCUUAGAAAUGAUUUAAAGUAGGUGGUCAAAGAAUCUUUACUUUUCUGGUAUUUCUGGCAUUAUGGCAAAAGCAACGAAGCAAGAGCUAGUUCCUUCUCUUUACUUCCUUCCUGUAAUCUUUGCAGGUUCUUUGUACAUGUUAGGAAAUAAACCUUUAUUAGUUGAAUCUCUAAUCUGUUAGUACAUUUUUUAAAUUACUUAGCAUUAAGUCUAUAAUGAGUAGACAGAGACCAUAUACAUGACCCAUUAUUUAAAGGUUCUUAAAUUUCAGAUAUGUUUACACAAAAUUGUGCUUCUUCCGAAUCCUUAUUUCAGAUGAUUCUUGUUUGAAUAUAUGUUGGCACCUGUAUGUUCAAAACAGUGGAGGUGUCUUGGAAACCGCAAGAUGCAUCCUGCAAAAAGGUAGAGGGUGGUAGAGAGUGUCCUGAGUUUUAAAUAAGUAGAUUUUUGGAUUUGAAUUUGAGCUCUGUCAAUUUCUAUAUGCAUGACCUGAAGCAAGCUACUUAAUUUCUUUCUAUUUCAUUUUCCUUAUAUCUAAAAUGAGAAUAAUAAUCCUGAUUUCAUAGAGCUGAGGUGAGGGUAAGGCAGACAAUGAAUGCAACUGACUUAUGAAAGCAACUGGGGAAUGCAUUCAUUCCCCAGCCAUUCCCUGGAGUACACCUUGUUUUAUCUGCAUUUGUUCAUCCCUGUUUCUUACUCCUUGUCAGUCACCACCUUCUUUAAAUCCUUCAUGGUUGAGCUUAAAACCCACCCGUUCCUGCCUUGUUGAUUGGUUUUUCUUGUCACUGCCAAGUAGACUGUGGGCUCAGUGAGAGCAGAGGCUCUGCUCUGACUUGUUGAGAGACCCCAGAGCACCUCCUACGGUCUGGCAGCCCACACCCAGUGGACUAAAAUGCAGCCCUGGCACCAUCUUUCUAUACUUCUUUUCUCAGAGGUGUUGCCUCAUUUUGACCUGUGUUCUCUAGAAACCCAAGAAAUUUUCUCUAAAGAACAGACUUAAAGUGAAUAUAGUUUACUCCGUGCUGUUCAUGGUUCUGAAUAGAGUUGGCGCAUAUAUAGUGGGUUUGAUUUUCUUUACCAAGCUGCCCUGUAGUUCGAGCAGCUUGCACAUAUGCUUCCAGAUAGACUCGCCCAGCAUGCCUUCCAGAAUCCAAUACAGCUUCAGAAUUCCAGAGAGUGAGGACUGACCUAGGGUCAAAUGCAUUAACCUGCUCCAUCACCAAAAUGCUGCUGGAGGAUUGAACAGAUGUGUGUCAAUGCUUGUGGUAUCAGUAAAACAUACGAAAACAUGGAUUUAUUUUAACUCCCUGUGGUCUGAAGCUGUAAGGUAGAGAUACAAAAAUUCAUACACUGUGAUUUUUUUUGCUGUUAUUUUCUUCUUCACAGUGUAUUUAUUCCUUCUGAGCAUCUUUGGCCAUGCACUGUGUUUUCUUUAAUGAAAGUAGAAAAUUUGUAUCCUCAUUGCUUAUUUUUAGCACUGUUGCUAUGAUAAACUGUAGCCUAGGCAUCUUAUUAAAAUCAAUUGAGGAUUUGAAUUAUUAUUCCCUUUAAUAUUGUGGCAUUACUAUUCUUUCUGAAAAUAUUUCACCAUGUAUGAAUCUAUCCAAAUAUUUCCUAUGACUUACUGGAAAGAUAUUUCUCAUCUAUUUAAGGGAUAUAUAAAAAAUAGCCUCAUAGGGGUUGGGGACAAAUGUUUUUGUUUUCCUCUGGAUUGUUUUUGUGGGAAAGUGUUAGGUGCAAUUAUUUUUUUCAAUACUCUGCUUAAGAAUAAUUUGUAAUAUCUUUAGGAUGAAGUUGCAUAGUACAAAACAACUUUUUGUGAAUAAAGUAAUUGACAAUUUUGGUUUUAAUUACCACAUGUCAUGACUAGUAGACUUCCUAACAAAACACAUAGAUUGGGCAACCUGAAUUUUUCUACAUAAAAAUUGAGGUCUUACAAUAUCAUGAGGUCUUACAAUAUCAGUGAAGCAAUAAUCUGCAUUCCAAGACUUUAUGCUGUUUCACAUGUGUAAAUAGCAACUACAGCAUCUACUAUUUCUGCCAUGGAGUCUGGGACUGUUUCAAGGCUGUUCAUCUAUGAUUUUCAUUCUCAGUACCAGGAUCAUGGGCAGGAAUGGAGCUUGAAGAGAUCUGGGCCCACUCACAAGGGUUUUUAAGAAUCAGGAGAUGGUAAUUAUUAAGAGGAGGUAAGAACUGAGUUGAACCUAAAGGGUCGACUUAUAUUUUAGGCUGUUAGACCAGAAUUAUACCUCCCUUUAAACUAGAUAAACAUACUAGCAUAAAACAACCUGCAGUGAUGAAGGGGAGGCCAUUAAACCCAAAGAGUCCUAGUUCUAGGCCAAGUGUUAGGCUAUCUGCUUUCGUAAGUACAUCCCAUUUAAUCUUCCUAACAACCCUGCUAGGCACAAGUUAUUAUCCCCAUUUCACAGAUGAAGAAACCAGGCUCGGGGAGAUUAAAUAACUUCCUCGUUGUAAGGGGUUGCACUGGCAUUUAAGCUUAGCCCUUAUGAUUCAAAGCUUAUGCUUUAUGUUAUAUGAUGCUAAAAUAAAGGCAUGGUUUUUUUCCCAUGGAAGAAUAUCCUUCAUAUUUUUUAAAGUUGUAGUAAGUAGCACAUAAAUGAGACCUACUCUUAAGAAAUUUUAUAAGUGUAUAGUACAGCAUUAACUAUAAGCACAGUGUUAUAUAGCAGUUCUCUAGAACUUUUGUAACUUGCAUGACUGAAACUCUAUACCCAUUGAAUAGAAACUCUCCAUAGGUCUUUACAUCUAUAACUAAAUUCUGAUCACCCAUUCCUGUCCCGGCACUGCUUAUUUGUUUGUUGGUUUUGUUUUGUAUAGAGGGGGAAAGGUGCCACAUUAAUGCCGAGUUCAAGGUCACUGUUUAACGAACAGGUCUUGGGGUAGCAAUUGCUAUAACAUGUCAAUAGCCAGAUUCACCAUAAAGGUGAUCAGACUACUACCACGCUGUUUUAUUAAUCACUGUAUGAAUUUGAUUAUAAUUUAUAAUCACCAACAUAGUUUCUGUUCCAUUUAGGUGACAGACUGUUGAUUUACUUUGAAUUCCAAGAUGACAGUGCCCCUCUGAGUCAGGCAGGGUAUAUUUUAAGUCACAGUUACUUGAGAAGUCCCUCCCCAAAGCAGAUCACAGACAUCACUUCUUCAUCUGGUUGAGAAGCUUCUGGAUGGAGUCAGACUGCCUGGCAGAUCCUGGCUGCACUCCAGAGAACUAUGAGCACUGCCAGACAGCCCCCUGGCACUAGGGCUGGCCAAACAGUCAUGGCACAAGGAUCCUCUGUACUUUUACUGGGCACCAAGCCCAGCUCCAUCAGGGCAGAAUGUGGAGCUCAGCAGUUUGAAGUCUGGUCUCCAUGGCACUAGGGCCAAAGGCAAGCUACAGAAAUUCCAAGGCAACUGCAUUGUCUCUGGUGUAGGCACAUGACACAUUCCACCCAAAAAAUUAAGAGAGGCUGUAUCCUGUCCCUGAUCCAAGGUCUAACAGCAUUGGCAGGAUCUCAUAUGAAUGAGCACAGUACUAGAAGACAUCACGAUGAGGCCUUAUUCCAACUUCAGGUUGCAGUGUGUUUUCAACAUGGCACUUAAACUUGGUGAACCUCAGUUUUCUCUUAUUUUAAUUACAAUAUUCAUGGCAUCUGCCUCACACGGGCUUUCCAGGGUUGUUUUGAGAACUAAGGGGAAAACUGUGUGUUCAAGAAUUUGGCAAACUGGGGACAUAGUGUGUGUAUGCCAUGUUUAUGAAUACUCCUAAGUAAGUCAACUUCGUAAGGGUUGGGUCUCUGUGGCAUACAGAAGGUGCUCAUGAAUGCCUCAAAAGUCGUGGAAAGGAAUCUUAGUGUGGGGAGGGGGGAGAGAGAGAGAGAGAGCAAAAAAAGAAGAAAGAAUUCAAAUCUCGGAAAACCCAAAUAUGCUUUUGAAAUUAGUAAUCUACACCCAGUAAAAAUCUUAAAAUCUUGCUUUUGUUCAUUAUGGGAUACCCAAGAGAUUUAAUCUUUCACUAAUUGUUUAAAAAUCUUUUAUAAACUGAAAGCACACCCAACAUUAAGAGUUCUGAGCAUUCUGAAUUACUUACAUUUGUAAAAUUCCUUUUGAAAAAUGUAAACCAAGCUUAUUUCAUAAUGGUUUCUUCAAAUCACUUUUUCCUAUUGUAGUGUCCUUUACUGUCUAUACACGGGAUCACAUGUUAAUAGUACCAACUGUCCUGAGCCCUUUCCAAACACCAGGCUGUAUCUAACCCUUUAUCAUAAGAUGUCUCAUUGACUUCUCAUUGCAACCCUAAGAUGGUCAUUUUUACCAUUUUACCCACUUUGCAGUUGAAGCUGGUUGGAGCAGUUACAUAACUCAAGAAAAGGGGCAAUGCUCAUAAGUAAGAAGAUGAGGACUCAAUUUCAGACUACUAGAAGUCACAACCCAUGAGUUUUGUUUUGUUUUUUCUUCAAAGAGCCAUUCAAGACUCCAUUUGCCAAGCCUAGACAUGGCUUUUAUGGAGUGAAUUUGAUCUUUAUUAAUAGCUGGAGGCACUGCAUAAAAGGAACUUCUGGCCAGAGCCUAGUGGUAGUUAAUCCCAGUGACCCAGCCUCAUUCAUUCAUCUGUUUGCUUCUGGGACUACCACCUGAACAUUUGUUUUGUCUUGGCUUCUUCCCUGCAGCUUGAUACUUCACAUGUGUCUCUGUUCUGUCUCUCCCAGUUCAUCAAACUGGUUUCUGUCAUCCUCUUUUCCAUGUUUGACUUCUUGAGCACUCCACUUGUCCUCCCUGAUCAACACUAGCCUAGUGAGGAAGAGAGAGGCCAUGUAUUCUAUUUUCAGGUUGUUUUAUGAAGCAGUUAGGCCCCACUGAGCUCAGAGGAGUGUGCUAAGGAAGUCUAUGGAAACAAUGCACAGUUGUAUAAUUUUGUUUUGAAAUGUGUUCUGAUAAUACUUUUUCAGGCAUCAAAGUUGCCUAAUCCCUAAAAAUAUACAGGUGUAUUAUAUAAAGAGGAUAAGAUAUUAUGCAGCUUAAACUCCUGGAAAAGUUCUCAUUAGUUAUAUUUUACAACCAAGUUCCAAUGCGAAGCAGCCUGUUUGUGAGUGAUGAUUAGCGCUGCCAAUGCCCCAGCAGUAGCAGGAAAGAAUGUCAUGAAAUGAUCCAACUUCCAUUAGAAAAUAAUGACUGUCUUGGCUGAGCAACAUUUUUUAAAUUAAAUACCAACAAUUCCUAGUAAUCAGAGAGCCUAUUAGCCAUGAAAUUCGAUUUCAGUAUCAGAGACUAUUCACUUACCAAAUGGGAGCCAAAUAAUUGUGAGUGGAAUUUACAGUGCCGCAUUGGGGAUAGUAGUAAAUAUUAUGGAAGUGGCACUAGGGUAUAGCUUCAGCUCUGGGGAAAUGUGGCAUUUUAAAAUUUCAGUAGCAAGUUAGUGUGAUGAUUAACAGAAUGCAGUCAUUAAUUUCCAAGGCAUGAUAUUUUCUCUUUAGUCAUUUGAGAACCCAAGGUCUUACAGUGAACUCGUCAUUAAUUGCUACUUAGCUUCACUGGGCUUUUCCAAAUGUCCAUCAGCUCCCUUGAGAUAAAAUCAGGAAUCUUUGCAUUAGAAUUAGCCUUAAUUUAUGGAGGGAGGUGUUCUUGAUCCCAGGAGUGAUCUUUAGGAAGACUGGAAAAUAAGUUUAUCAUUUCUGCCAGCUCAGGUCUAAGUAUUCUCUCUUCUUUUCACAUGGUCUCUCCUGACGCAUCACUGCCCAGGUCACCUCUUCAAUCCUUCCUCAUUCUUUGCAAUCCCUGUUCAGGGAUAUGGGAAGAAAGUAUUCACUAUCUACUUCUGCCAUGAAUUGUGUCAAGUAACCCAGACACAAAUAGUGGAAGUAUAUUAUUAAGCAGGCCCAUGUAGAUUAAAUACUGCUCCACAGCACAAAGUUAAUAAGGGUUAAGAAGGAGGAUUCAUACCUAGGUCUAUCCUCAGAACACUUGUUCUUUACAUUAUUGCACUAUGGAAAUAAAAGUUGAUAAAAUUUUAGGUGAAUACAUUGCUCUGCCAUUUUCUAAUUUCGUUUUAAUACAUUUUGAAGGAAACUUAAGCUUGGAAAUUAAUGUUUUCCACAUGCAGCACUAAAUUCCACCACCGUCUUUCAACAGUACAAAUCCAAUGGAGGAACUUUCAGUAUUUUUCAAACAUAUAUAUACAUCCAUGCAUAUGUAUACAUGUAUAGUAUACACAAAUAUACCCAUAUGUAUACACAUGCACACACAAACACAGACAUAUAUACAUAUAUAUACACUUAUAUACAUAUAUGUUAUAUAUACAAUAUAUAUGUAAUAUGUAAUCUUUCAUAAUAUCUUUCUUUUUUAUCCAUGAGGACUGAACUUUGCCUAACUGAAAAAUCUCUCUCUUGGCACCCAUAUAUGUGUCUCUACAAACUUGUUGGCAAACUGUAUACUGGCACAUGCAUUCUACAAGACCACCAGGCUCAAAAGCAGAACAUUUGGCGGAUAGAAACUGCAGUGGCAGGCUUUCUAAAGAAUAAGGCAGGAGAAGAACCCCACAGAGAUGCAUGGAGAAGAUAAAACAAUUUGUCUGUUGUCACACCCUAGGAAGGGUCAAGCCAGGCAUUCAAUCCAUACUUAGCUGGUCCCAAAGUCCAUAUUCUGUCCACUACAUUAACCUGCUGCUGUCAGAAAAAGAAAAUGACAGAUUUAUAGUUCUCCUCUCCCUGCCCCAGUAUAUGUCAGCAUUUUUAGGUAUAUUUGAACAAAAACUGAAGUUCAUGCAUGUCAAUUGUUCUUCUAAAAGCCUUCUUAGUGGAAACAUAGGGAAACAUGGCCUUUAGACAUGCCCAAAGUGAACACAUUUGUUAGAAAACUCAGUGUUAUGAUGUAUCAUUUAGAGUUAACAGGUAAAACAUUGCAUAUCAGCUGAUUUUAGGAAGGACCAAAUGCCAUGCAUAUUUCUGCCAUGAGUGCUUUUUACUUGCCAUAGUGGGCCAUAAGUAAUUAAACUAUGUCAUUCGCAUUUGAAAAUACCAUGACUACAGGCCUUACAAAUAGUCUCCUUCCUAAGUUCUGUGGCUGUUAGAAUCUGGGAAUUGACAUUGUUUCUUUUUUUGUAAGGAGUCCUUAUGGCUUUCAGAUCCCUUACUGGAAUUCUUGCCACAAGAGGGAUACUGAGCAGUGAAGGUUUACAAGUCUCCCUUGCGCUUGUGCAUAUGGAUUAACUUCACUCUUUUAAUACCUUACUUCUCCAUCAGUUCUAGAGCCCACUGUGAGCUGAGGUGAAGGCACAUUUUCCCUCCCAACAGGAAAGUGACCAAUAUUAUAUUUACUUCCUGGGGCAAAUGGCUUUCUGUCAGCUUUACUUGUAAAUCUGCCUCAUUCUACUGGAUCUAUCUCUAAACCUAAUUGCUUGCAUACUGCCCAAAGCCACCUUUGGGAGCUAUUUGUGAAGACUUUGUCUCAUUUGUAAGCUACAAAGUCUCCAAAACACAUAUUUUCCCUCAUAAUCAGAGGUUGUUUUUGCUUUGGUCAGGAACAACAUUCCUCAAAAUAUCUGUAGGGGGCUAAUAAGUCACAAAGUGUUCCUGAGUAGACCAGGAGGUGUAUGACAAAGAUCUAUGUCUUUCUCCCUCCUUCUAUCCUUCUCUCUCCCUUCACCCUUCCUUCCUUCUUUCCUUCUUUUCUUCCUUUUUGCCAUAUGAAAGAAGAAUGGUCUACUGAUCUCUCUCUCUCUCUCUCUGUCUAUUUCAUUAAAUGGCAUUGCAUUGCAAUCUUCCCAACAACCAAAGUCAGAGUUGAAGAUCAUUCAGUCCAAUCUCCUUAUUUUACAGUUAAAAAACAAAAACACAAAACACAAAACUACCCCAGAUGGGCGAAAUGACUUGAUCAAGUCACAUAGUAUUGGGCCUAGGGCCUGAACCCAGAUUCUUUGAGUCCAAGUACAGUUUACUUUUAGGUAGUUAGAGAUAUAAAGUGGCCACUGAGAUACAGUGCAAUAGAGGAUUUCCGGCUUUUUCCCCAUCCAAAAUAAUCUCAGUCAAAGACAGUUUGAGGGAAUAUACUGAUUUUGAACACGAAACCAAAAUUAUAGAGAACAGAAUUUUUUUAAAAAAAUUUGAGUAUAUUUAAUUUAUUGAAAAAUUUAAAUUGGAUAUUAUUUGUUUUUGUUGCUUUUAUUUCCAAUGGCGAUGGCAUUUGGAACUGAAAUUUAAAAUGUAGGAUUAGGAAGUAGCUUUCACAUUUAUCUUUAUUUUUUGCAAAUACCUAUGCAUAUACAUAGAUUUUCAACUAUGUUUUCAUAGGAUUUAAUGGAAAUUGUCAAAAAUGUCUCAAGAUAGUUAUGAUUUUUAAAUGUUAUGUUUAGAAUUACUGAUCAAUUUAUGAUCAAAACUGCAAACAGUAAUUGUAAAUAUUUUGAAGUUGGUGCUACUGUAUUUUUCCCCACUAUUUGCUACUCUGAUUCUUAAAUUUAAUGGACUCAUGUUGAAGACAAAGUAUUUACAGUUAUAAACACAUAAUACAUUUAGAAUUGUCAAUGGAAGCUUGACUUUUUCUCACAGGAUGGUUCAUUGUGGUUAAGACUUCAUUAGCAUCAGUAAUGUGUAGGAAACUUAACCUCUCAUUUUCAAAUGAAAAGUGUUCAGAAUUUUUCAACUAUUAGGCUGUUUGAGUUAUCUGUGCUAGACAUUUCUUGUGAUAUUUUUGUCAUUUAGUUUUUAUCUGUUUUUAAUAUCAAGGGAAAGUGAAUGCUAGGUCAACGUAUUUUGAAUAAAAUUAUAGACAAAACCUUUUGAGUAAUAAUUAUGUAGUAGGAUGCAAACUGACACAUAAUGGCAACAUUCGCAAAACAUUUUAUUAGAGAUUUUUUCCUAAGAGGACAUGAAAUUUUGGCAUUAUUUUUAUUCUGCUAUAUUUGUCAUUAGAUAUGUAGACAGUUUCAUGCCUGCUCAUUUAAAAUGUAUGAGAAUCUGUAGCAGUGUCACUGGUCCCUGGGAAAUAAAUGAUGUCAUUAAAAUAACAUUAGGACUUUGAGCUUCUUAAACCCAGAAUUAUUAUCUUUAAGUGAGGACAGCUGCAUGGCAGAAAAUGUUGAUGAGUCUCUUAGUGCUUAAUUCAAGUGUUGUGUGAUGGUUUUCCUGUACAAAUCUACACUAUAUUGAUAGUACCUGAGAGGGAAGAAAACAAAUAAGCAAGUUCAAGCUUAUGAACUACUACAUUUCUCCACACUUAAGUGUGUCUUAUUUCUUACCUCAAUCAAAUAUUAGUUGGCUCAGAAUAAAACUUUUUUUUAAAAAAAGCUAAAAUUAUCUCUUUGCUUUGCUUGUUCUUGUGGUACUACUGUUUCAAAAAGUCAUUAUUUAGUGAUAAAUAUAUUUGUGUUCAGGGCUGUUAUUUUAAGUUAGAAGAGUAGAAUAUGUAGUUCUUUUUAUCAAAUAAUCCCAGUCCUUAACUUCUUAAUUUUGAUCAAUUUCUGUUUGGGUAGUGAAUAUAUUUGGAGUAUUUUUGCACACUGGAGAAUCAUCCUGUCACCUCCACACAUGGAAUAACAUAGGUAGGUAUAACACUCUGGUCCAUUUCUGGGCAGUUGCUUUGCUUUAUAUUAUAUAUUUUUGAUGAUCUAAUGCUUGUAAUACAGUAAGUCCUCACUUAACAUAGUUAAUAGGAUCUUGGAAACUGCAACUUUAAGUCAUACCACAAAAUUGGUUUUGACAUAUAACAAAACCAGUUUUACCAUAAGCUAAUUGAUAUAAACAACAGUUAAGUUCCUGCUGCAUAUUUCUGGUGUACAAAACAUCACCAAACUUCUAAAUAAAUACCAAAGCUCUUCUAAUAUUAAACAUUGAAGUAAAGUGUUAUCUGUAUAUACAUUUAAGAUAGACUAAUAAAAACAAGUAAGGUAAUUGUUUAUUUCAUUUUUGGUGAAUGAGUGAGCGACAGUGAUUGUUUGUAUUGGUGGUGAGUUUAAUCCAGGAAUGAAGGUUUGCAAAGUGAAAAUUGUCAGGGACGCUUCCUACCACCACACAGUUAACAAUUACAAAUAUGGUGAGCUAACCGAGAGCUUCUGUACCACAUAAGUUUAUUGUUGAGCAUGUGUAUGAUUAUCAUAUACUUUAUGAAGUUUUGCUUUACAAUAAUUUGUAUUUAUUAAUUCACUUUCCAACUCUCUCACUGUAGUUCAGGGUUGCAGGUGGCCAGAUCCUAUUUCAGGAGCUCAUGGGGCAAGGCAGCACCUAACCGUGGACAGGAUACCCUUCCAUCAUAGGGCACACUCACCCACAUACCCACACUCACUCAGGCUGGAACAAUGUAGACAUGCCAACAAAACUAACAUGCACAUCUAAGGGAUGUGAGAGAAAACAAGAAUAUCCAGAGAAAAACCAUGCAGACAUGGAGAGAACAUGCCAACACCACAUAGACAGCGACCCCAGCUGGAAAUCAGUGUUUUUCCCCCAUUAACAUCAUAACGAAAUAAUUUUUUUUAAUUUUUAUUUUAUUAUUAUUAUACUUUAAGUUUUAGGGUACAUGUGCACAAUGUGCAGGUUAGUUACAUAUGUAUACAUGUGCCAUGCUGGUGUGCUGCACCUAUUAACUCUUCAUUUAGCAUUAGGUAUAUCUCCUAAUGCUAUCCCUCCCUGCUCUCCCCACCCCACAGAGUGUGAUGUUCCCCUUCCUGUGUCCAUGUGUUCUCAUUGUUCAACUCCCACCUAUGAGUGAGAACAUGAAGUGUUUGGUUUUUUGUCCUUGCGAUAGUUUACUGAGAAUGAUGAUUUCCAAUUUCAUCCAUGUCCCUACAAAGGAUAUGAACUCAUCAUUUUUUAUGGCUGCAUAAUAUUCCAUGGUGUACAUGUGCCACAUUUUCUUAAUCAAGUCUAUCAUUGUUGGACAUUUGGGUUGGUUCCAAGUCUUUGCUAUUGUGAAUAGUGCCUCAAUAAACAUACGUGUGCAUGUGUCUUUAUAGCAGCAAGAUUUAUAGUCCUUUGGGUAUAUACCCAGUAAUGGGAUGGCUGGGUCAAAUGGUAUUUCUAGUUCUAGAUCCCUGAGGAAUCGCCACACUGACUUCCACAAUGGUUGAACUAGUUUACAGUCCCACCAACAGUGUAAAAGUGUUCCUAUUUCUCCACAUCCUCUCCAGCACCUGUUGUUUCCUGACUUUUUAAUGAUCACCAUUCUAACUGGUGUGAGAUGGUAUAUCACUGUGGUUUUGAUUUGCAUUUCUCUGAUGGCCAGUGAUGAUGAGCAUUUUUUCAUGUGUCUUUUGGCUGCAUAAAUGUCUUCUUUUGAGAAGUGUCUGUUCAUAUCCUUCGCCCACUUUUUGAUGGGGUUGUUUGUUUUUUUCUUGUAAAUUUGUUUGAGUUCUUUGUAGAUUCUGGAUAUUAGCCCUUUGUCAGAUGAGUAGGUUGUGAGAAUUUUCUCCCAUUUUGUAGGUUGCCUGUUCACUCUGUUGGUAGUUUCUUUUGCUGUGCAGAAGCUCUUUAGUUUAAUUAGAUCCCAUUUGUCAAUUAUGGCUUUUGUUGCCAUUGCUUUUGGUGUUUUAGACAUGAAGUCCUUGCCCAUGCCUAUGUCCUGAAUGGUAAUGCCUAGGUUUUCUUCUAGGGUUUUUAUGGUUUUAGGUCUAAUGUUUAAGUCUUUAUUCCAUCUUGAAUUAAUUUUUGUAUAAGGUGUAAAGAAGAGAUCCAGUUUCAGCUUUCUACAUAUGGCUAGCCAGUUUUCCCAGCACCAUUUAUUAAAUAGGGAAUCCUUUCCCCAUUUCUUGUUUUUGUCAGGUUUGUCAAAGAUCAGAUGGUUGUAGAUAUGCGGUGUUAUUUCUAAGGGCUCUGUUCUGUUCCAUUGAUUUAUAUCUCUGUUUUGGUACCAGUACCAUGCUGUUUUGGUUACUGUAGUCUUGUAGUAUAGUUUGAAGUCAGGUAGCGUGAUGCCUCCAGGUUUGUUCUUUUGGCUUAGGAUUGACUUGGCAAUGUGGGCUCUUUUUUGGUUCCAUAUGAACUUUAAAGUAGUUUUUUCCAAUUCUGUGAAGAAAGUCAUUGGUAGCUUUAUGGGGAUGGCAUUGAAUCUAUAAAUUACCUUGGGCAGCAUGGCCAUUUUCAUGAUAUUGAUUCUUCUUACCCAUGAGCAUGGAAUGUUCUUCCAUUUCUUUGUAUCCUCUUUUAUUUCCUUGAGCAGUGGUUUGUAGUUCUCCUUGAAGAGGUCCUUCAUGUCCCUUGUAAAUUGGAUUCCUAGGUAUUAUAUUCUCUUUGAAGCAAUUGUGAAUGGGAGUUCACUCAUGAUUUGGCUCUCUAUUUGUCUGUUAUUGGUGUGUAAGAAUGCUUGUGAUUUUUGUACAUUGAUUUUGUAUCCUGAGACUUUGCUGAAGUUGCUUAUCAGCUUAAGGAGAUUUUGGGCUGAGACGAUGGGGUUUUCUAUAUAUACAAUCAUGUCAUCUGCAAACAGGGACAAUUUGACGUCCUCUUUUCCUAAUUGAAUACCCUUUAUUUCCUUCUUCUGCCUAAUUUCCCUGGCCAGAACUUCCAACACUAUGUUGAAUAGGAGUGGUGAGGGAGGGCAUCCCUGUCUUGUGCCAGUUUUCAAAGGGAAUGCUUCCAGUUUUUGCCCAUUCAGUAUGAUAUUGGCUGUGGGUUUGUCAUAGAUAGCUCUUAUUAUUUUGAGAUAUGUCCCAUCAAUACCUAAUUUAUUGAGAGUUUUUAGCAUGAAGCGUUGUUGAAUUUUGUCAAAGGCCUUUUCUGCAUCUAUUGAGAUAAUCAUGUGGUUUUUGUCUUUGGUUCUGUUUAUAUGCUGGAUUACAUUUAUCGAUUUGUGUAUAUUGAACCAGCCUUGCAUCCCAGGGAUGAAGCCCACUUGAUCAUAGUGGAUAAGCUUUUUGAUGUGCUGCUGGAUUCGGUUUGUCAGUAUUUUACUGAGGAUUUUUGCAUCAAUGUUCAUCAAGGAUAUUGGUCUAAAAUUCUCUUUCUUGGUUGUGUCUCUGCCAGGCUUUGGUAUCAGGAUGAUGCUGGCCUCAUAAAAUGAGUUAGGGAGGAUUCCCUCUUUUUCUAUUGAUUGGAAUAGUUUCAGAAGGAAUGUUACCAGUUCCUCCUUGUACCUCUGGUAGAAUUCGGCUGUGAAUCCAUCUGGUCCUGGACUCCUUUUGGUUGGUAAGCUAUUGAUUAUUGCCACAAUUUCAGAGAACGCCACAAAGAUACUCCUCGAGAAGAGCAACUCCAAGACACAUGAUUGUCAGAUUCACCAAAGUUGAAAUGAAGGAGAAAAUGUUAAGGGCAGCCAGAGAGAAAGGUCGGGUUACCCACAAAGGGAAGCCCAUCAGACUAACAGCGGAUCUCUAGGCAGAACCUCUACAAGCCAGAAGAGAGUGGGGGACAAUAUUCAACAUUCUUAAAGGAAAGAAUUUUCAACCCAGAAUUUCAUAUCCAGCCAAACUAAGCUUCAUAAGCGAAGGAGAAAUAAAAUACUUUACAGACAAGCAAAUGUUGAGAGAUUUUGUCACCACCAGGCCUGCCCUAAAAGAGCUCCUGAAGGAAGCACUAAUCAUGGAAAGGAACAACCAGUACCAGCUGCCGCAAAAUCAUGCCAAAAUGUAAAGACCAUCGAGACUAGGAAGAAACUGCAUCAACUAAUGAGCAAAACAACCAGCUAACAUCAUAAUGACAGGUUCAAAUUCACACAUAACAAUAUUAACUUUAAAUGUAAAUGGACUAAAUGCUCCAAUUAAAAGACACAGACUGGCAAAUUGGAUAGAGUCAAUACCCAUCAGUGUGCUAUAUUCAGGAAACCCAUCUCACAUGCAGAGACGCACAUAGGCUCAAAAUAAAAGGAUGGAGGAAGAUCUACCAAGCAAAUGGAAAACAAAAAAAGGCAGGGGUUGCAAUCCUCAUCUCUGAUAAAACAGAGUUUAAACCAACAAAGAUCAAAAGAGACAAAGAAGGCCAUUACAUAAUGGUAAAGGGAUCAAUUAAACAAGAAGAGCUAACUAUCCUGAAUAUAUAUGCACCCAAUACAGGAGCACCCAGUUUCAUAAAGCAAGUCCUGAGUGACCUACAAAGAGACUUAGACUCCCACACAAUAAUAAUGGGAGACUUUAACACCCCACUGUCAACAUUAGACAGAUCAACGAGACAGAAAGUUAACAAGGAUACCCAGGAAUUGAGCUCAGCUCUGCACCAAGAGGACCUAAUAGACAUCUACAGAACUCUCCACCCCAAAUCAACAGAAUAUACAUUUUUUUCAGCACCACACCACACCUAUUCCAAAAUUGACCACAUAGUUGGAAGUAAAGCUCUCCUCAGCAAACGUAAAAGAACAGAAAUUAUAACAAACUGUCUCUCAGACCACAGUGCAAUCAAACUAGAACUCAGGAUUAAGAGACUCACUCAAAACCGCACAACUACGUGGAAACUGAACAACCUGCUCCUGAAUGACUACUGGGUACAUAACGAAAUGAAGGCAGAAAUAAAGAUGUUCUUUGAAACCAACGAGAACGAAGACACAACAUACCAGAAUCUCUGGGACACAUUCAAAGCAGUGUGUAGAGGGAAAUUUAUAGCACUAAAUGCCCACAAGAGAAAGCAGGAAAGAUCCAAAACUGACACCCUAACAUCACAAUUAAAAUAAUUAGAAAAGCAAGAGCGAACACAUUCAAAAGCUAGCAGAAGGCAAGAAAUAACUAAAAUCAGAGCAGAACUGAAGGAAAUAGAGACACAAAAAACCCUUCAAAAAAUUAAUGAAUCCAGGAGCUGGUUUUUUGAAAGGAUCAACAAAAUUGAUAGACCGCUAGCAAGACUAAUAAAGAAAAAAAGAGAGAAGAAUCAAAUAGAUGCAAUAAAAAAUGAUAAAGGGGAUAUCACCAGCGAUCCCACAGAAAUACAAACUACCAACAGAGAAUACUACAAACAACUACACAAAUAAACUAGAAAAUCUAGAAGAAAUGGAUAAAUUCCUCGACACAUACACCCUCCCAGGACUAAACCAGGAAGAAGUUGAAUCUCUGAAUAGACCACUAUAACAAAAUAAUGUUAUUCAAAGUUCAUCUGACAUGCUUUUUCAUUUAUUCUUCGUACGGUAUAGGAAGAAUAAGUAUAUGCUUUUUAUGAUAUACUUAGGUCUUUUCUCAGGUUAGGAAACUCUUCUUCAAGUAAGGCUUUGAUAAUUGUUUCACUGCAAAGAUUGCUGCCUUAUUUUUUAGAUUUGGAUGUCUGUUGUCUGCAUUCAACAUCAAUCAUAAGAGGACCCUUCAUCAUUUUCACCUUGUGUGUUUUAGAUAGCUCAAGUAGUUUCUAUAUAACACUCCUCAUAUAUUGCUUUGGAUACAUUCUGUUUCUUAAUGUUUCCAAUGGGUGUUAUUUUUUCUGCUGUUGCAGUUAGAGCUUCCUUAAAUCCUACUUCUUUACAUUUAAAAAACAAUUAUAAGGGGGCUGCCAAGUAACUUUCCAAAAUUUUCUCUUAGCUCCUAUUGAAAGCUAUUUUCAAAGAUAACUGUUCCCCAAGACUUUAUGUUGUUUCUGCUUUUUCUUUUCUUUCCAGAGUUUUUGGAUUUUUAUGUGAGAUUUUUGUGUACAUUUAGAUUGCAGUGAGAAAAGCCCAUUCCAAACCCCAUGUUUUUCAAAAGAGAGGGUCUAUGGAGAACCCUUGGGCACUCUCUGCAUCCAAUUGGAUGCUGGUCAAAUUUCUGUCUCAUAUCAAUAGCUGCAAUAGAUGGAUAUGAGUAGCCCAGAGCUCAGUUUAAAAGCACCAAGCUGACAUUCAUCUCGUGUGACCCUGCUGGUUUGAGAUGAACCCAUAAAAUCCAUAAAAUUAAAAAUCUCAAUAAUCAUAGCCCCUAGGAAUCUAAGAAUUGUUUAUUUCCUGUUGUGCCUAUAGUGUUGAAUUUGCAGGAAUGACUUAUUGUAGAACAGAAUAUGUUUCAUUUUCUGUACCAUCCCCUAUUAUCCACCCCACACACUCACCAGCAACAUAUGGUCUUCCUUUCCAGUGUUUUCUCUGAAACUUCAGUUCUGAACAGAUAUGCUAAGAUGGAUAAGCAGUGAUGGGGCUGAAGGAGAGCGAUGCUUUAACUGCACUUUGUGUUCAAGGAGUGGAAUAUUCAGACAUGUUAGACUGAGUAUUAAAUGUUCACCAAGUCACUUCAACCUCAUCCUUCAUUUUUAAUUUUCUUCAUACAUUACUGUCAGAAAUUAUUCUGUUUAAUUAUAGAUUGGUGCAAAAGUAAUUGAGGUUUUUGCCAUCACCUUCAAUGGCAAAACCUGCAAUUACUUUUGCACCCAAGUAAUAUUUUAUUAUAAACCACAGCACAUAGUGCAUUCUCAACAAAUGUUGCUGUUGGGAUGCAGGAAUGGAUGGAUGAAUAGAUGAAUGGGUGGCUGGCUGGCUGAAUGGAUUGGUGGAUGGAUGGGUAGUUGUUCAGGAUUCUCAUUGGUAUGGGAUUUGUGCUGUUAGUCUGUGUGUCCUGCAGACUAACGGCACAAAGAAAGAUAGAAGGUCUUGCUACCUGCUCUCAGACUGGUAUAACUCACAUUAUUUGGCAAUACAGAGACUCUCAGUCUUAGUUUUUAUUGGGAGUGUAAAUUUUGCCUCUUUGCUAUGCCUUCGUAGACAUUUUGGUGGAAAGUGGUGACAGACAGUGUCACAGGCUGCCAACCAGGUACCACUUUAACCACCAAGACUCUGAUAAUGUCUCGUUUCCUCCUCCCAUCUCUACCCCUUGCUUCCUCUCAGACUCCUCCUACUCUCUGUCUCUCCAGCCAUGCCUCCACUUGCAGAAUAUCCUUCUCUCUACCCACCGUUCAUCUUUACCCUGGUCAUUUCUUUAGCCACGUCCUCAUGCGUAUCCAGCAUUUCUAUCCUGCUGUGUCAAAUAUAAGACACAUUCUUUAACUUUAGAGGGAAUUUAUAUUUUCUCGUCUGUAGUUUUCUGGAAAUAGUGGGGAGGUUGUAGGCUGUGAUCAAUUUGGGAGCCAUUUAAUGGCAGUAAAAUGGGCAAAGCAAUAUAUCGAGAAUUCUUCAAAUUGAUAUUUAUCUAUUUUCAUCCAGCCUUAGGUAUUUUAAUACAGAUACAACUUUUACUACCAGCAAACUAUAGUUAGUAAUUGAUUUUUUGCUUCCUAUUUCAAAAGCUACAGAUAAAAGGACAUUAAUUUUUAAGAGGCCACUCAAUCAGAAAAUGCAUUCUUCACUUAGAGUGGUCAAAAGAGCAGUGGAGUGGAACUCAGGAAACCAGAGGACUAGCUCUGACUCUGCCACUUACAUUGUUUGAAGCAAGGUAUUUCUGUUAGGGACCUCCAUGGGCCUUCACUCUAACCAACUUUUCUGUCACCUUCAUGUACUAAGAGUCUCUGAUCCCGUGAGGAUGACGUCUACUUGCCCAUCACUGCUCCUACCUGAAACCCAAAUGUGCCGAAGUUUGGAUCCCAGCACAGGCUCAGCAUCAUCAUGGAUGAUCAGCUCAUAGUCCUAGAACUGGCUGUGGAGACUUUUCUGAAUAUGAACAUUGUUUUUAAAUCAGUGUUAGUAAACAUGGACUCAAUAUUUACUUGAAAAGAAUUAUUUCAGUUACAGAUUGAUGUAGUUCAUUUUAACCACCUUGUGUAUGAAGGAUGAAAAAUGAGUGAUCUAGUUUUGAAGUAACUACAAAAAUUGUGUUUGUAUCAACUGUCCUGUUUAUUUUUGCUUGUCAUAAUGAGAGGACAUCAUUAUUAAAUCUAAAUUAUCUCCACCACAGUGUCACUAAAUAUGAUCAGUCAACUAUCUCUGCUUCCUUUACUUGAGAUCUGUUGAACUAAGGUCAAACUGAGCUCAAGCUUCUCAUCCAGAUUAUGGCAAUACACACCUUUCCCCACCAAUUGUUCUUUAAAGCAUUGUGAGUUGGCUUAGCAAUGUCUUCUUCCAUCUAAAGGUGGGUCACAGCACUGGCAAAUGUAUAAUGUUGGACUAUUGCUGGGAGCCACAUACCGCAUUAGAUUUUUUUUUUUUUUUGGUACGCUAACAGCUCCUCAUUUUCUGGCAAUGUAUGACAGGCAGAACUGUAAUAGUUAUCCUCAUAAGCAAUGUGCAAGUUAGAUAAUUGCAAUACUAAACACAAUGAAUAUUCAGUUUGUUUAGGGGCACUGCAGUGAAAAAAAGAAAUGCAUGUAGUUGUGAUCUACCUGUCUCACCAAAACUCACAUUUAGUCUUUCCUAAAAAUACCUGAACUUCAUUAACAUCAACUUCACCAGUACUCUUUCAGAUGACUGCAUAUUGAAUUAGGCUGAAGGGAAGGGGAACAGUAGCCCAUGGGGUCAUAUCAGACUUGUAAUUCUGCUCUUUCCAAAAGACUUACAGUGACAGCCAACCACAUUCCAAGAACUGCACUGGUCACCAGAGAUGCAGGAGGAAUGGGCCAUCAUUUCUGUGCCCAAGGAGCUCACACAGACUGUAAUUACCUCUGGGAAUCUCAAAGACCAAAGCAAUGUGAAAUUUUGUCCACAUUGUUCUCAAUAGUGACUGAGCUAUUCUAUAUUUGUUCCCUGAUCUGUUUUAAGAAUGAAAAUAUAGAGAAAUUAGAGUUCAGGUGAGAAGAGUUAAAGUGAUUAAGAGGAUGGUGAACUCUUCUAACAAGAAACUAAUAGCGUGUAGCUUAGUUCAACAGUGGUAAGUGGAGCUCAUGAUAAUGAUAUAUAAAUGUUUGAAAAAUAUAAACAAGAAGGGGCAACAUUGUUUAGUAUUAUUCAAUUACAAGUGAUUAAUAGCAAUGCAAAGUAAUUAUGAAAGGGAAAUUAAAAAUGGACAUAAGGAAAAAAAGUUUUCUUUUGGUCUUGUUUCCUAAAAGAAAAUAUAGGGCUACAUUAUAGGAAAGCAUUUGCAACUACACAAGAAAAUAUGAAACAAGCAAGCUAAGAGCAAGUAAUUUACCAAUGGUAGACUAAUUAUUUUAUUAAUUCAUUAUUAAUAAAAUUUAUUAAUUCAUUUAUCAAAUGUUUUUAUUCAUUCAUUUAUCAAAUUAAUUAUUCAUCAAAUGUUUUAGGUUACUCACCUAUUUAACAUUUUCUUUGCUCCCAUGUAUUCAUGUAUUUCAUUUGAUUAUUUUUUUUUUUAACAUUUCAGUGUUCCAAAAAUUGGGAGACAUAGGCAGUAAUAUAUUUUUUAGGAAAAUACUGGUGGUUGUAAUAAAUAAUCUGAUAUUUCAGUAGUCCAACACAUUAAAAGUUUGGUUCUCAUUCAUAUAAAGUCCAAAUCAAGUGUUUAUUAAAGGCAGAAGGAUGAGGGUUGGAUUGUGGGAGUCGAUGGUUGGAGGGGCCCAGAUCCAUGUAAUCAUUCAGAGAUCCGGGCUGAGGAAGAUCCAUAAAUUCACUGUGAUCUCCACAGCCAGCUGGAAGAUAAGAGCAGAAAGAGACUGAGGAAGAAGUAACUCCUCCUUACACACUCGGUUCCAGAAGACACUCAGAUCAGUUUCACCUAUAUUCCAUUGUUGAGAAUUCAUGGAAUGACAUUGCUUGGAUGCACUGGGCAUUGGGAAAUGUGGCUUCUUUCCUAGCAUCAUCUCUACAACUUUCAGGAGAGCAUGAGUUUUUAAUGGACAAACAGGUGAAUAAAACACACUCAAAUUCCUGGCCUCUUGGAAAAUACAUUUUAGUUGGAGGAAACUGAUAGUAAUACUAUAAAAUCAUAAGUGAAAUAAACAUUUUUUUUGUAAGGACAUAAACAUUGUGAUGGUAUGUAAAGCCUGGAAGAAGUGCAGGGAGUGUUGGGUGUGCAAUUUUAAAUGGAUAGUUUGGAAGGAGCUCAGUGGAAAAGAGGUAUUUGAGCAAUUAUUUGAAUGAGGUGAGAAUGUAAAUCAUGUGGAAUGUAACGGGAAAUUAUUUAAAGCUGCAGCGCAGCAAAUGGAAAGCUCAUGGGGUGGAAUCAUGUCUGAUAUCUUUAGGGAACAGCUGGUGGCUAACCUAUUAGGAGCAAAGUAAGCAAAGGUUAGAGAAUGGUAGGAUAUGAGGUCGGAGAAGUAAUAGGGUUCUAAACAUACAGAGGCCUUAAGAGUGACAGUGAGAAUUUUGGCUCUUACUCUGAGGUACAGGGGAAGUCAUUAGAGGGUAUUGUACAGAGGAGUGAAGUGAUUUGAUUUAUGUUUUAAAAGGAUUACUCUAGUUGUUGUUCUGAAAAUAGACUGUGGUGCAGUAAGGCAGAAGGAGGGAGACCAUUAGAAAGCUUUUUCAAUAAUUGAGGUGAGAAAUGAUGACAGCUUAGACCAGAGAUAUUGAGAAGUGGCUGGAUUCUGGGUAUAUUUUGAAGGUGGAAGUGACAGGAUUUGCUCAUGGCUUAGUGGUAAGGUGUGAUGGAGGAAAGGAGUCAAGGAUGACUCGAAGACUUUGUGCAUAAAAGACUAAGUGGAAGAGUAGGAUUUUUAUUAAUUGAGAUGGGGAGGACUGUACAGGAUUCUCAUUUAGAUGUGGGUGGAGCACAUAAGGGUCUUGAUUUGGAAUGACUUUUAGAUAUUUAAGUUGAGCUGACAAGUAGGCAGUUAGAUAUAUGAAUAUGGUAUUGGCAUGGGGAAUGGAGGAAUAGAUCCAAAUAUUGAGCUCCAAGGGACUCCAAUAUUUAGAGGCUGGAGAAGUGGGGAGGAACCAGCAAAGGGGAAUGAAAACGAGUGACAAGAGAAAGAAAAUCAGAAAAGUCUAGUAUUGAGAAAGCCAAGGAAGAGAAGUGUUUGAAUUAAGAAAGAAUGAGGCUGAGCCAGGAGGAUCUCUUGAGCCCACGAGUUAGAGACCAGCCUAGGAAAUACAGUGACACCCCAGAUCUAUAAAAAAAAAUAGCCAGGUGUGGUGGUGUGUGCCUGUAGUCCCAGCUACUAAGGAGGCUGAGGCAGGAGGAUUGCUUGAACAUGUGAAAUAUAACGGGAAGUUCAAGGUUACAGUGAGCUAGAUCAUACCAGCACACUCUAGCCUGGGUGACAGCACAAGACUCUGUCUCUCUUAAAACAAAUCAAAGAAAGAAAGAAAGGAAAGAAGGGAAAA